GAUGAACGCUGGCGGCGUGCUUAACACAUGCAAGUCGAACGAAGCACCUUGAUUUGAUUCUUCGGAUGAAGAUCUUGGUGACUGAGUGGCGGACGGGUGAGUAACGCGUGGGUAACCUGCCUCAUACAGGGGGAUAACAGUUGGAAACGGCUGCUAAUACCGCAUAAGCGCACAGUACCGCAUGGUACCGUGUGAAAAACUCCGGUGGUAUGAGAUGGACCCGCGUCUGAUUAGGUAGUUGGUGAGGUAACGGCCCACCAAGCCGACGAUCAGUAGCCGAUCUGAGAGGGUGACCGGCCACAUUGGGACUGAGACACGGCCCAG
rnacentral:rRNA from 1 species